UUGGUUAAGUCCCGCAACGAGCGCAACCCCUAUUGUUAGUUGCCAUCAUUCAGUUGGGCACUCUAGCGAGACUGCCGGUAAUAAACCGGAGGAAGGUGGGGAUGACGUCAAAUCAUCAUGCCCCUUAUGACCUGGGCUACACACGUGCUACAAUGGUUGGUACAACGAGUUGCGAGUCGGUGACGGCGAGCUAAUCUCUUAAAGCCAAUCUCAGUUCGGAUUGUAGGCUGCAACUCGCCUACAUGAAGUCGGAAUCGCUAGUAAUCGCGGAUCAGCACGCCCGCGGUCGAAUACGUUCCCGGGCCUU
rnacentral:rRNA from 1 species